AGCACGGGAGUAGCAAUACAACUGGUGGCGACCGGCGCACGGGUGAGUAACGCGUAUGCAACCUACCUAUCGAGAGGGGAAGUAACCCGGCGAAAGUCGGACUAAUACCGCAUAAAACAGGGGCACCGCAUGGUGAUAUUUGUUAAAGAGAUUCGCUGAUAGAUGGGCAUGCGUUCCAUUAGGUAGUUGGUGAGGUAACGGCUCACCAAGCCGACGAUGGAUAGGGGAACUGAGAGGUUGGUCCCCCACACUGGUACUGAGACACGGACCAGACUCCUACGGGAGGCAGCAGUGAGGAAUAUUGGUCAAUGGGCGGGAGCCUGAACCAGCCAAGUCGCGUGAAGGAAGAAGGAUCUAUGGUUCGUAAACUUCUUUUGCAGGGGAAUAAAGUGCAGGACGUGUCCUGUUUUGUAUGUACCCUGAGAAUAAGGAUCGGCUAACUCCGUGCCAGCCGCGGC
rnacentral:rRNA from 1 species